CACGGCAGCAAGGUGGUUGAAUGAGCAAACAGAGGAAUAGUUAGGAAUGUUGGAGACCAGAAGCCUGAGCAACUGAGAGAGCUAGUACGCUCAUUCAGGAAGGAGGCAGGUGGAGCCUGAAGCCUGCUCCUCUGAGGGCCCCAGGGUGGCCCCUGGCUGGUCCCAAAUGCUCCACACAAUAAAAGUAGAGUGAGAAGCAGGAACCAGACUCUGGAGCUGGAUGUCCUUGAAGGGUGGUGAUGCUGGAGAUUAGUCCCCUGCCACCCCACUGCCCGAGAGCAGACCAACUAAGGUCCUUCUGCCCAGAGAGCCUCCCCACACCGCUCCAUCUGCCUGGUGAGUCACCCACGCUUCACCACCCUCGCCAAGAGAUCCAAGCUGAGCACCUUGUAUGUCUCCCUAUCAUCGCACUUAAUGGAUAUGUUCGGCCUCCCAGUGGACCAGCGUGUCCCUGGGCCCCAGGACUCUUUCUUACUUAUCUCCACGUGGAGCUCCCAGAACAGGUUUGGGCACAGUGGGUGGGAACGAGGGAAGCCUCUGGGUGUCAGCUGAGCCUGAGACACAUGGAAGAUCACGUCCAGAUGCAUGGGUGUGCACGGUAUACACGCACCUUGACCAAAAGAAGUCAUUGUGCCAUUUGCUGAUGUACAAUGGAUGGCCCUAAAACUGAGUUGCUUGAAACGGUGGCAAUGUAUCAUUUCUCUUGAUUCCAGGGGUUGACUGGGCCCUGCCAGGGAGUUCUGGCGCCAUGGCGUGCUGAAGUCACUCAUGGGCGGCACUCAGCUGGGAGCGCAGCUGGGGCUGAAGCCUCUCAUUCUUGGGUCUUCCUCUCCACGGCUGAUCAUCAUUCUGCAUUCUGCCUGAGCGACUUCAUAGCUCGGCUUCUGGCUUUCUGGAGGAGCAUGCCAAGAGGGCAGGUCUUAGUGCACGAGCGCUUCCCAGGUCUUUUUUUUUUUUUUUUUUUUUUUUUUUUCAUAUUUACUAAUGUUGCACUGGCCAAAGGGUAUGGCUCACUAAGGCCAUCAGGGGAACUGUUGGCUGUGUCUCUGUACCCUGGUCCUGAGUACAGUUUAGCUCCCUCCCUGCCUGCCAAAGUUAUUCUAAAGAACUUUGGGUGGGCAUUGAUCUACUCUGGUCCAGGUGGGGCUUGUCUCAGUCAUCAAGGCUGGCCUUGAAGGUGGGAUAGGAGGGAGACAUCCACACCUGAUCUCUCUGUGUUGGACACGACCCUCACCCCUCUGAAGGCUGGGUCUUAGGAAGGGUCCCCUCUCAUGGGACAGCUAUCACCAGAGACGGGGCAGUGGAAGAGGGAAUGGUGUUCUUUGUUUUCUACCAACAAA
rnacentral:lncRNA from 1 species